rnacentral:lncRNA from 1 species
CUAGAGCCAAUCAGCUUGGUCAUCAGUGAUGAUACCUCUUCUGUGGUCAUUUCAUAAAUGCCUGAGUAGUAGGCCUAGACAAUGGAUAUCUAUAUGUUAUCCAUAGAAGCAACCUUGAGAAUAACGACGUCACCAUUAUACAUGAUUCUUAAUCAUGUGGUUCAGUCUCUCAUAUGAGUUUGGAUCUUGAUGAGACCUUGAUUCCUUGGCUUGAGCUAUCGCCCCAUUAGUGUCGUAGUGUCGGUACACUAGAGAAACUUUCUGGUUGGAACCGAAUUGAGAGUUCAUAAAUGAACUUUCCCAUCCAAACAACAUUGUUGUAAGCUUCUAUAUGGCAAUAUAUUUUGCAUUCAUAAUGGAACACACUAAAGUCAUUACUUUUAAUGUUUCCAUCCAAAUAUCUCUUUAGUCAUAAUAAAGAGAUAUUUGAUUAUCUCUUCAUUCAUAAUGAAGAAGUAUCCAAUGAUGGAUUAGAUUCAUAAUCUAAUACAUUUACGCUUCCAUUACGUUACUCUAAUUCUUCCUCAUUCGGUUUGAAGAAUCUAUCCUUUAGUAUUUCUUAAAUACUCAAGGACUCACUUGACAGUUGCCAUGGUUCUGAUCCUGGGCUUGCACUGAUAUCGUCUUGUACCUUUCUAGGUACAACUCAUAUCAAUGUUUUUCAUACAAUAUGAAAUACAUAAAUCACCUUUCUGCGUAUGCAUAAAGGAUUCUAUUUACGCAUUAUUUCUUUGGGAGUCAAAGGGUACGUUCCCUUUGAGAAGGGCAACUUGCUAGUCUCACUAGAGUCGUCCUUCUAAUUGAAGUUUAUCAUCAUAUGAGAAACUUCCUAGCAUCUCUUGUCUAUUAUUAGGGAUUGAUAUAAUCGAAUUAUAUCUUGAAGUAUAUCAUUAUAGAUUUCUAUCCCAUGUUUUUAGACUAUAUCUCCCAUGUACAUUCUAUCGUUAUAGAAUGUUUAAAGUCAUAACUUUAACGAAGAAGUAUUCUUUUUAUUUCCAAAAUUAAUAUAUCAUAUAUGUGUAUAUAUAUAUAUAUAUAUAUAUAUAUAUUUAAAUUUAGGAAUAUGAUUAACUCCCACUAAUCUUAUGUAAACCUAGUAAACAAAAGAUUCAUUCACAUCUUUAUAAGAAAUCAAACGAUUUGAUCUUUCUCUCAUAAGACGCUUAUAGCUCCCAUUAGCUUGCUAAGAUCCAUGAUGGAUGGAUCUCUACAACUUACAUGUCUUGUGAUUCAUAGUUUUAGACAUAUAUUAUCAAGACUACCUUAAUAAUGGUUUCGGAAACCCAUAUUAUGUCCAAACAUUGAAUCACCAUUUAGUUGUAGCUAGCAAUCUUCGAAUUAAUUGAAAACAAGACUACGUCAAAGAUGGUUUCUUCAAAGUCAACCAUUCUCUUUGAUUGUAGUCACCUUAAGCUACCAAUUAGCUAUUUAAGGUUUCAUUAUUUCGGGUCAAAUGGUACUUUACCAUUUCCUUGAGUAUAUAUCGUAUAUACACUCAAUGUAGUCAUAAGGAUUUUCAUUCUUAUUUCUUUCGAAUUAAGAGGUGUAACUCUAUGACAUAGUCAUAAAGUUCAAACCAUUCAACUGAGACGGUUUAUAAAUCCUUCUCGACUACCUUGGAGCUUGUGGUAUAGGAACUAGGUUGUUAUAUUUGUUGAUCACUAUCUUGUUUCUUAAAGAACCAUUCUUUGAGUUCUAUCCCUCGUUCAUUUGCUCCAUCUUGGGCAAAUCCUAGUGUAGGAUUACAAUGAACUACCCAACAAACAACAUUUGUUAGUUGGUUUAUAGAAGUGAUAUCCAAAUGUUAAUUUAAGGAUAUCCACAAGAUAAUUCUCAAACAAAUAUUGCUUAUUAGCACACAACCCCAAAUCUUAACAUGAUUAAGAUUUGUCUUUCUUUCCAACUACAUCUUAUGGAGUCAUGAAAAUUUUGGAAGAUCUUCUAAUUGACAAUCAUAUUGUCUUAGAAGCAUAUAUCCUAUAUAUGGGUAAUUGAUAACAUCCAACGAACUAAAUCUUAUUCAAGUUCGUUCUUCUCCAAAUGGAGAAAUCCAUUAUCUUUUGAUGCUUCUUUCCUUGAUAUUUUCAAGGAAACUGUUCUAAAGUGUUAUCUUUCCUUGGAUCAAAUCUAAGGAGGCAAAUACUUUAGACAUCUUACUCAUCAACUUACAUUUCUUGAAUUCUUUGAAACCUUUUGCAAAGUAUUCGGACUUGUGUUUAUUCAAAAUAAACUAUAGUCCAACCGAGAGUGAUCUUCGGUGAAUGUCAUACAACAUGAGUAGUAUUAUGUUGUGGACAAGUGCCACUAACAUCUAAGUGAAUUAACCUGAACAACUUUGUGAUUCUUUCUUCUUUCCAAAAGAAUAAAGAUUCGAACAUUUCGCCUCUAUACAAUUUUAACAAGAAGGUAUUGGAUCUGGAUCUAACGAUCCAAAGCAUCCAUCUAUGACCAACUCGUAUUUUAUGUUUUUAGAGGUAUCACAACUCAGUUGGGAUUAGUCACUAUCUUGCAACCUUUUGGGUUUUAAGCAUCCUUAUAUUCUAAACAGUUAACACUACCAUAUCAUCUCUACUAUAGAGACAAUCAAUUAGAUUACUAUAAUCCAAUCAUUGAUUAAUAAAGAACAAUGUUUUGUCAAACAAAACAUUCAUCCAUCUCUACUAUAGUGACGGAAUUAAGUUCCUUAAAAUUGGAAUGUAAAGACAAUCUUUUGUUUUUCCAAUUUCUUUGGUAGUUCAUAUGAGGAAGUAAGUACUAUUUGCUUUCGCAGAGAUCUUUAUUUUAUUCACGUUCCGAAUGUGAAGUACCUUUUUCUUCUCUCAUAUAUCUUCUACUUCUUAUUAGUCACACUUUUACAACGAUUGUAAAACAUAGUUACUAAUACGGAAUCAAGCAUUCAAGUAGAAGAACCAACUGUUUUGAACUAUUCAAGAACAAUUUACAACACCUUCGAAAGGUGUGUUCUUGACACUUGCUAGACAUUUCUUGCAAAUACCCCUUCCAUUGUCCAUCCUUUCAUAAAGAAAGUUUGUUCCCUUGGAGUUAUUUCGCUUUCUUCAUUUGACUUCUCCUUUGUCUACAAUAGUCAUGGUCCCUAAACUCCCACUAUCUCUCUUGAAACUUAUUUCAAUUGUGUUAUACACAUCAAACGAUUUGGAGAGUGUGUGGUUAUUGUUCACUAUAUAGUUUACAAUAAACUUAGUGAACCAUUUGGAUAGGGACAUAAAGGUGAAGUCCUAGCCUAGUUUCCGUCUCGUUAAGUGGUUUAACACUUCAACACUCAAUGAUUCAAAAUCAUCAUAAGUCCAUGUUGAUGGACUAUUUUUGUCAACCAACCAUUAUGUUCUAAACAUAAUUACAAACUUUCAAGAGUUGUCCAAGGCAACUCUCAUUUCUUCAUACAACAAUUUGUAAGUGAAGAAUCAUGGAACAUAAAGUGUCCAUGCCCUUGUGCUUUCUUCUCAAGUUCUUUGUUCAUUUAACAAAGAAACAAGCACUAGUGUUUGCAUUAGCUAAGGGUUGUUCAAAGCAACUCUUAUUUCUUUAUACAACAAUUUGUAAUUGAAGAAUUAUGACAUUAAAAGUGUUAUCCUCUUUAUGAUAGACUUUUUCUAACAUAUUCUUCUAAUGAUACAUUAUCAAUAGGAAGAUUGAGAGGAUGAGACUACUUAGGUACAUUUACAAGCCAUUAAAGACAAUCUAUGGUUUUGUAGUACCAAGUCCGGAAACUAAAGCUUUCGGCUUUUAUUUGUCAAGUGUUGGAUAGCGUUUGCAAAUAUAUUGGUAAAUAAAUACAUAACGAAUAUAAAUCGAUUGAUUUUAAGCCAUUUGAUCCGGGUCUUUAAAUCAAAUAGCACCACCCACUAUUUUUGGCAAAUUCCAUAUCCCUCAUUGGAAUUCGAGAGUUUUGGAGGAAACUCUUAGUAGGGUAUGGGAGACUCACCAUUACCAAGCCCACCUCAGAAGAAUAUCAUAUUGGCUAGCAACAAUAAUGUUGAGAGGAUAACGCUUUAGCCAUUUACAACUUUUGUAAUUACCCAUCUAAUUUGGCCUCUAGAAAAUGAUGCCUCAGAAGAAUAUCAUAUUGGCACCAUUGCACUUAGUUAAGUCAUUCCCACCAUGCUAGUUCAAGUAGGGGUUCAAGAAUGGCCUCAGAAGAAUAUCAUAUUGACCAUACUCGUUGCCUACCUUCACUUCAUCAUAUGUUUAUAGGCUUCUCCUGAAUGUAAGCACAUACUUUGCAUACCCCAGAACUGGACGAAUACUGUGUAUGAGUCACAAACGAUUGAAGCCCACCAUGGUGGAAGGCCUACGAAGAGAUGUUCAAAGCAUCUCUCGCUUAUCAACUUAAUAAUGGUUUGGUUGAGGGUUUUAGGUCUCAUCACAUAUAAAUAUUCAUUUUAAUCUUUAUUAAAACAAUUUUGGUCCUAUUACAACUAUUGGUCCAUUUGAUUGAAUUUAGUUGUAUAUAAUACUCCCACUAUGCUUAUAAAACGGUUUUUAAAACAAGAGUAUAUGAUACUACUAACAUAAACUUUGCAUUCAUUUGAUGGACUAUAUAGUUGCCUUAGGGCCUUAGGAUGACUAUGAACCUUUGAUUAGAUUCAACACGAGCCUAGUGUUGAAUCUCGGUCUAGGGAUGGUGAUUGAUUUUAGUUACGCGUUUAAUCACAUUAAGGCGUGUUGUCUUAGGGGCGUUGGACCCUCUACUCCAUUUUCAUGCAUAUCAAAUAAUAUAAGAAAGGAGUACUUCAAAGUAAAGAUGAGCUUAUGCUCUUUACAACAUUUGAAUAAAACAAAUUACUUUAAAG